rnacentral:rRNA from 1 species
UACGGGGGGGGCAAGCGUUGUUCGGAAUUACUGGCGUAAAGGGCUCGUAGGCGGCCAACUAAGUCCGACGUGAAAUCCCCAGGCUUAACCUGGGAACUGCGUCGGAUACUGGAUGGCUUGAAUUCGGGAGAGGGAUGCAGAAUUCCAGGUGUAGCGGUGAAAUGCGUAGAUAUCUGGAGGAAUACCGGUGGCGAAGGCGGCAUCCUGGACCGACAUUGACGCUGAUGAGCGAAAGCUAGGGGAGCAAACGGG